UUUUAACUUAAAGAGUAAAGAAUUAAGUACAUGAUCCCUUUUCGAAUUCAAAAGUAUCUUUAUCUCAACUAAAACUACUAUUUUUAUGGGAUUAUUAGGAAGGUUAAAA
rnacentral:rRNA from 1 species